rnacentral:rRNA from 1 species
AAGACCUUGCGCUUUUGGAGCGGCCGAUGUCUGAUUAGCUAGUUGGUAGGGUAAUGGCUUACCAAAGCUUCGAUCAGUAGCUGGUCUGAGAGGACGACCAGCCACACUGGGACUGAGACACGGCCCAGACUCCUACGGGAGGCAGCAGUGGGGAAUUUUGGACAAUGGGCGCAAGCCUGAUCCAGCCAUGCCGCGUGAGUGAAGAAGGCCUUCGGGUUGUAAAGCUCUUUCAGCCGGGAAGAAAAGGCUACGACGAAUAAUCGUAGCUCAUGACGGUACCGGAAGAAGAAGCACCGGCUAACUACGUGCCAGCAGCCGCGGUAAUACGUAGGGUGCGAGCGUUAAUCGGAAUUACUGGGCGUAAGGGGUGCGCAGGCGGUUUUGUAAGUCAGAUGUGAAAUCCCCGGGCUUAACCUGGGAACU